CUGUCAGGUGGUACUAGUGGCGCACGGGUGCGUAACGCGUGGGAAUCUGCCCUUGGGUUCGGAAUAACAGUUGGAAACGACUGCUAAUACCGGAUGAUGUCGCGAGACCAAAGAUUUAUCGCCUGAGGAUGAGCCCGCGUUGGAUUAGCUAGUUGGUGGGGUAAAGGCCUACCAAGGCGACGAUCCAUAGCUGGUCUGAGAGGAUGAUCAGCCACACUGGGACUGAGACACGGCCCAGACUCCUACGGGAGGCAGCAGUGGGGAAUAUUGGACAAUGGGCGCAAGCCUGAUCCAGCAAUGCCGCGUGAGUGAUGAAGGCCUUAGGGUUGUAAAGCUCUUUUACCCGGGAAGAUAAUGACUGUACCGGGAGAAUAAGCCCCGGCUAACUCCGUGCCA
rnacentral:rRNA from 1 species